GAUGAACGCUGGCGGCGUGCCUAAUACAUGCAAGUCGAGCGAACGGACGAGAAGCUUGCUUCUCUGAUGUUAGCGGCGGACGGGUGAGUAACACGUGGAUAACCUACCUAUAAGACUGGGAUAACUUCGGGAAACCGGAGCUAAUACCGGAUAAUAUUUUGAACCGCAUGGUUCAAAAGUGAAAGACGGUCUUGCUGUCACUUAUAGAUGGAUCCGCGCUGCAUUAGCUAGUUGGUAAGGUAACGGCUUACCAAGGCAACGAUGCAUAGCCGGCCUGAGAGGGUGAUCGGCCACACUGGAACUGAGACACGGUCCAGACUCCUACGGGAGGCAGCAGUAGGGAAUCUUCCGCAAUGGGCGAAAGCCUGACGGAGCAACGCCGCGUGAGUGAUGAAGGUCUUCGGAUCGUAAAACUCUGUUGUUAGGGAAGAACAUAUGUGUAAGUAACUGUGCACAUCUUGACGGUACCUAAUCAGAAAGCCACGGCUAACUACGUGCCAGCAGCCGCGGUAAUACGUAGGUGGCAAGCGUUAUCCGGAAUUAUUGGGCGUAAAGCGCGCGUAGGCGGUUUUUUAAGUCUGAUGUGAAAGCCCACGGCUCAACCGUGGAGGGUCAUUGGAAACUGGAAAACUUGAGUGCAGAAGAGGAAAGUGGAAUUCCAUGUGUAGCGGUGAAAUGCGCAGAGAUAUGGAGGAACACCAGUGGCGAAGGCGACUUUCUGGUCUGUAACUGACGCUGAUGUGCGAAAGCGUGGGGAUCGAACAGGAUUAGAUACCCUGGUAGUCCACGCCGUAAACGAUGAGUGCUAAGUGUUAGGGGGUUUCCGCCCCUUAGUGCUGCAGCUAACGCAUUAAGCACUCCGCCUGGGGAGUACGACCGCAAGGUUGAAACUCAAAGGAAUUGACGGGGACCCGCACAAGCGGUGGAGCAUGUGGUUUAAUUCGAAGCAACGCGAAGAACCUUACCAAAUCUUGACAUCCUUUGACAACUCUAGAGAUAGAGCCUUCCCCUUCGGGGGACAAAGUGACAGGUGGUGCAUGGUUGUCGUCAGCUCGUGUCGUGAGAUGUUGGGUUAAGUCCCGCAACGAGCGCAACCCUUAAGCUUAGUUGCCAUCAUUAAGUUGGGCACUCUAAGUUGACUGCCGGUGACAAACCGGAGGAAGGUGGGGAUGACGUCAAAUCAUCAUGCCCCUUAUGAUUUGGGCUACACACGUGCUACAAUGGACAAUACAAAGGGCAGCGAAACCGCGAGGUCAAGCAAAUCCCAUAAAGUUGUUCUCAGUUCGGAUUGUAGUCUGCAACUCGACUACAUGAAGCUGGAAUCGCUAGUAAUCGUAGAUCAGCAUGCUACGGUGAAUACGUUCCCGGGUCU
rnacentral:rRNA from 1 species